UGCCAGCCGCCGCGGUAAUACGAAGGGUGCUAGCGUUGUUCGGAAUGACUGGGCGUAAAGGGUGCGUAGGCUGUCUUAUGCGUCAGAUGUGAAAGUCCUGGGCUCAACCUGGGGAUUGCAUUUGAUACGGUAAGACUAGAGGCUAUGAGGGGAGAAUGGAAUUGCUCGUGUAGAAGUGAAAUUCGUAGAUAUGAGCAGGAACACCAAUGGCGAAGGCAAUUCUCUGGCAUUAACCUGACGCUGAGGCACGAAAGCGUGGGGAGCAAACAGGAUUAGAUA
rnacentral:rRNA from 1 species